rnacentral:rRNA from 1 species
AAACGUAGGAGGCAAGCGUUAUCCGGAUUUACUGGGCGUAAAGCGUGUGCAGGUGGUUUGGUAAGUUGGAUGUGAAAGCUCCUGGCUCAACUGGGAGAGGUCGUUCAAUACUACCAGACUUGAGAGCAGUAGAGGGAGGUGGAAUUCCCGGUGUAGUGGUGAAAUGCGUAGAUAUCGGGAGGAACACCAGUGGCGAAAGCGGCCUCCUGGACUGUUUCUGACACUCAGACACGAAAGCUAGGGUAGC